GGGGCCGAUCGGUAUCGACCGGACAGGGAAAGCACGGCGUGGCGCGCCGCGGCGCACGCUGGCCGCGUUAAAAAGCGUGCACAACACAGUUGCGAACAGCAGCUACGCUCUCGCUGCCUAAUACAGGCGGCAUCGUCCCCGCCCGACGCCCGAUGGGGCGGGGACGAAAAGACAUCGGGCUGGUACUCCCCGUUGCGCCCCGGUGCGCGGGAGACAAGAAGCAACACAGGGGCUGGGCAGGGUCCGACGCCGCUGGCGGCGGCGGCCUGCCAAGAUCAAUCGCCAGAGACGCGCGUGGAGGCGCCGUGCGGACUGUUUCGGGACGGGGGUUCGAUUCCCCCCGGCUCCAUUC
rnacentral:tmRNA from 2 species